AGCUUCACAAAACCCAAUCGACAGACACACGCACGAGUUGUACACAAAGCCUCGGGGCGCGCACAUACGCACACGCAGGUCCACGCUGUCAUACCCAAAGUUCCGCGCAGAAAGCCUCGGCACCCCGGCGGCCCGCUGCACCCCGCGCCCUUCUGCCCGCAGCUCACACCCCUUGCUCCUGCCCUUGACCACAAACGCAGCCGGGCCGGGCCAGGCCGGACCGGGGCGGGCGGCGCCGGUAGCAGGGCGGCCAGGCGGCCCAGGGAGGCCGGGCUCCGCGCGGACCGGCGUGCGCCCGGGGCCCCUGGCCGCGUGUCCUUCGGCCGGGCCGCGAGGUCAGGCUGGCUCUCCUUCGCCGCCCCUCCCCGCCUCGGGCCCGCCGCCUCCUGCCGCCCCCCGCAGUUGCCUCUCCGCGCGCGUACCUGUGCCGGGCCUCCCUCCCUGCCUCCCCGCGCGGGAGGCGAGGGCGCCGGGCGGCCGGCGGGCCAGGGCGAGGGCGCGUCCUCCCCGGCGCCCACCCGCCUCCCUGCAGCCGGCGUCCGCCGGCCGGUGUCUCCGCUGCGGCGCAGCCCGGGAGGGCGCGGGCCCGGCCGCCACCGCCUCGCCCUCGCCGGCUCCCGCCCCCUUCCCGGCCCGGCCCGGCCCGGAGCCGCUGCCGAGGCGCACGUACCUGCUCGCGCCGCGCGGGGCUGUACGGCGGCGGCCGCGGCCGCCGGGGGCUCCGGGGAGGGAGGGACAGGGGAAGGGGCGGGAGCCGGGGAUCGCAGAGCGCAGCGGAUCGAGCUCCGCCCGCGGCCGGCGAGGGCGCCCGGAGAGUUAGCGCGGGGAGGGAGGGGGAGGCGGGUAAGAGACUGGGGUAAGGGUUGGGGGACGCAGCCCCAUCCUCCUCCCCCUCCCCCUAGGGCAUAUCUGUUUCGCCCGCGCCUGGGUUUGGGGAACUGGAGCCUUGAGCCCGCCGAGCCAGGGCGCAGGGGCGGGGCGCGGGGGUGGGUACCUAAGGAGCCCCCCUCCCCCCGCCGCCUGCCUCUCCCGGACGCUGGGGAGCCCCUGCUGCGCCAAGCCCAGACGCUUCCUCCGCACCCUCCCCCCACCCCCCACACCCAGCCCCCAGGUGGGACCCAGGGUCCUCUCCGAGGUCCUCAGAUCGGGGUGGUCUUCUCGGGCGCGUGCGGCUCCGUGGCUCAAGGGCGCCACCUGAAGGCUGAAAGGAAGCCUCUGACGGGCCCCCUCCAACCCCGCCUUUUUCCCUGCUUUUCUUUCUCUGUGGGACAGUGGCUGCAGAGCCCGAGAGGGGUGUUUCCUUGGGGCAUUGCCAAUGGCCACACACACUCUCGCCCUCCAAGGCCCAGCUGCUGUGCCUCCUCCCCUGGGAAGCCUACCUGGCUCCCCCCGACACUCGCUCCUCCCAGGAGCCCCUCCAGCUGGGCCCUCCCUUUGCCUGCAUUGCUGUCAUGUCCGGGAGUUGUGUCUUUCUGUAAGUGCCAGCCUGCUUCGUGA
rnacentral:lncRNA from 1 species